rnacentral:rRNA from 1 species
GAUAGGUCAGGUGUGGAAGUGCAGUAAUGCAUUAAGCUAACUGAUACUAAUUGCCCGUACGGCUUGUCCCUAUAACCUUGACGGUUAUA